AAAGCAAAACAAUGGCAGAAUAAAUCGCAUAACGGCGUUUUCUUGUCGCUUUCUUCACUUCCUAUCCACGCAGAUUCGCGCACGGAACGCGUUCGAGCCGUCUGCGUUGAGUAUUGACAUUUGGACAGCGCCCAGGGAUGAGGUUGUUUAUGUGUAGUAAGGGGAACUUGAAACCGGCCGCCUUGCCCCAUGUCCUCGCUUGUUUUCCUUCUUUCGCUCGGAUUCUCCAUGUUGUCGGAGCGGACUCGACUCUGGCGCAGAAAUAAAUACACCCCGCGCUCAAACGCACAGCUGAGACGCGCAGCCAAGAAAAUUCAUAGCUGAUAAGAGACAAAGUCGGGCCCCUCCCAUAUGGACCAGAAGACAAGGCGGGAAAGCUUGAAUGCUGACAUUCUGAGUUUGCACGGUGAUGGAUUUGGAAAGUUCAGUCAUGGUACAAGUGCAGAGACAUGGAGGGACGUGUAGCAGCCGUCGAAAAAACAGAUCCCCGUUAAAUGAAACCGGUCAUGAACCUGGAUGAGACGCAAGCGCCGGGGUUUGCUCAAGGGCCAAGAUGUCCUCAAGACCCCUGCUCAGGAUCCUGACCUUUCUGAAAACUCCAUGAGGAUCCUCGUCGUACCUCGUCUCACAGGUUACGGUGCUGUGUGGACGUUAGCGUGUGGACGAUGCUGAGAUGCUUUCACUCCGUCAUCGCUUUUGUCUAAGGAGCUGCAUUUGCUUGAUUAAAAAAACCCAGAACCAGCAACUGCAUUCAUUGCAUCAAUUAGAAAAAAAAACAUAUAUAAAAAAAAUAAAACACAGUUGAUGUUUUCAUUAUAUAUAUAACAUAUAUAUUAUAAAUACAUUUUAUAUAUAUAUAUAUAUAUAUAUAUAUAUAUAUAUAUAUAAAGUAUAAGUAUAUAAACAUACAUAUAUAUAAAUAUACAUACAUACAUAUAUAUAAAUAUACAUACAUACAUAUAUAUAUAUAAUGUUGGUUUUAAUAUUUCAUUAUAUACAUUAAAAUAACUAAAUAUUUAAUUAUAUAUAAAAUAAUAUUAAAACCAUAAAUAUUAAUAAUAAUAUUUGUAAUAUAAUUUUUUAUUGUUGUAUUUUUUUUUAGAUAUUUAUUUAUUUUUUAUCUUCAAUUAAAAAAAUGGUGAUAAAUUACAAAUAUACUAGCCUGUAACUGUUGGAUGAAAUACACCACAAUGUCCAACUAAAGCUCUAAAACUGAAAUAUUACAGGCCACAUAAUAUCAGGUUUCUUUUUAAUGAACAUUAAUGAAUGUACUGUUAAUGUCUCCAGGCAUAUCAUAUGCUGUAAGUACUGUAUGUCUAUUAAAGUGCCAGUUUCUGUGUUAUUUCUUUUAUAAAGUUUGACUCCACUGCAGUGAUAGGAUUUGUAAUCAGGUGCUACAGUAACAGUGCAUCAAUACUCUUGUAUAUUUCUAUAUCUUUAAAGAGUAUGUUUGUGUUUUUAUUGUGUUAAGUUGAGAAGCUACAUGUUAAUUAAAUUACAGUUAGCCUUAUUAUGACUUACUAGGAGGAUUUUAUUGUAUAAUAAAAAUCCUAAUUCUCCUUAUA